rnacentral:rRNA from 1 species
AGUGAACGCUGGCGGUAGGCCUAACACAUGCAAGUCGAACGGCAGCACAGUAAGAGCUUGCUCUUACGGGUGGCGAGUGGCGGACGGGUGAGGAAUACAUCGGAAUCUACUUUUUCGUGGGGGAUAACGUAGGGAAACUUACGCUAAUACCGCAUACGACCUACGGGUGAAAGCAGGGGAUCUUCGGACCUUGCGCGAUUGAAUGAGCCGAUGUCGGAUUAGCUAGUUGGCGGGGUAAAGGCCCACCAAGGCGACGAUCCGUAGCUGGUCUGAGAGGAUGAUCAGCCACACUGGAACUGAGACACGGUCCAGACUCCUACGGGAGGCAGCAGUGGGGAAAAUUGGACAAUGGGCGCAAGCCUGAUCCAGCCAUACCGCGUGGGUGAAGAAGGCCUUCGGGUUGUAAAGCCCUUUUGUUGGGAAAGAAAAGCAGCAGGUUAAUACCCCGCUGUUCUGACGGUACCCAAAGAAUAAGCACCGGCUAACUUCGU